rnacentral:sRNA from 1 species
UUUUAUCCUAAUCCCAAUAUUCUCAAAUGCAGAGGCUCAGACAUAGUCAUUUGGUUUCCCUUUCCUCCUGACUUGCUCUCACCAUCCCAGUUCACACUGCGAUCUCUCCUCCUGACUUGCUCUCACCAUCCCAGUUCCGUUCGCCGCCAUGAUCAUCAGACCUCAAUCCAAGUUGCAGGAAAAUCGGGUGGCAUAUGGGAGUUGCAGUCGCAAGAAGAUGAACUAAUAUUGGUCAUGGUUGUUACAAACUUGGAUGCACUUGCCUUAAAAUAAAGUAGCAUAUGUGGACGAGGCUUACACAUAUCUAUACAUAAGUAUAUUUGUCCAAUCAGUGCCGACCUACUGAAUAUUAGUCAGUGGCAAAGAUGGAUGCCCUCACUUAAAUUGAUUCUUAUUUCGUUGAAGUUAUUGGUUCCUAUUUUCAUUUUACAAAAAAGAAAGAAGCAAAGUUUUUUUCAUGUGUUUUUCUUUUACUAAGAGCCACUGUUAGUGUGAAACCUAUAGCUUGGUGUUUUCUUUGUCUUUAGUAGGCGUUGUAUAAGAUAGAAUUGACAGUGUUUUGUGUCACUUCUGUUUUGUUUUUGUCUGUGAUGAUAUUUCA